GUACUUGCUUCGGCAGCACAUAUGCUAAGAUUGGAACAAUAUAGAAAAGAUUAGCAUGGCCCCUGCUCAAGGAUGACGCACAAAUACAUGAAGCAUUCCAUAUUUAA
rnacentral:snRNA from 1 species